rnacentral:pre_miRNA from 1 species
AAGUGGAGCAGUAGUCUCGUCACUUGGAUACUUAGCAAGUGAGAUUCAACUCCUCCAACUUUG